UUCUUAGGAUUCAAAAAAUUCAACCUUUAUUUUAUUUAUUUAUUUUUUAGUUUAAAGUAAGAUUAUGCUUUCGUUUUGAAUUGCGGGGUGAUUACGUUACGUGCCACGAGAAUGUACGAUAAAAAAAUAUUUUAUUUAUUUAUGUACGUAAUAGUACGUUUCACAUAUCGCAAUGAAUAGAUUACAAUAUAUUUUCUACAAUUUCACAUAAAAAAUACAUAAAUAUAUUUUUAUAUAUUUUUAUUCUGAUUCUAUUUAUAUUGUUGGGUUUGUUUAGUU
rnacentral:lncRNA from 1 species